GCUCAGGUUCAGAAAGUCUGAAUAUGAUUGGAAACUGAAUCCAACUUUUGUGGAGGGCCCAUUUCAGCUUUCAUUAUCAAGCGUAAUUGCAUUUAUAAUUGAUCCUAUAACUCCAGGUUUGUACGCAUGAGCUCUGCUGGAGUGACCAACCAGAUCGUCUUGGCCUUGAUCUCAGUAAAGAAUCUCCAGCUGUACACUUGACAAGGAAUUGGGUUUUAUCCUAACUUUCAAGUUGAAGGUUUGUUAUUAUCUAUGUAUAAACUGUUUAUGUCAAUCUGUAAAUUCUGUUGCUUCACUGAACUCAGGUAGUUUAAUAAUUUAUUUGGAACUCGUAGCUGCCUGGGAAGUGCUGAGACUUCUUAAUCUGAUUUGUCCAUUGACCACAUAUUUAUUUUUCGUGGUUCAUAAGGUCAACCUUAUUAUCCAGUUGGCAGAGCUCUAAGGAGAAGAGCAGAAGACUGAAGGCUAUGGAAAAGAUGGAAAGAAGGUUGUAAAUAUUUGAUAUGUUAGCUUGUGAGGAUAAGACUAUUAGGAAUAUGAGCUCUUAAGUUUACUGACGCUCCAUAAAAUAUGGACAAAGAAGUCAAAUUAAUGAGAGAGGAAUAUGCACAUGCAGAAUGCACACUCACAUGCGAUCAAGAUCUAGCUGAUUACUUUCUUCCCACAAUAUUUGGUUGAUGAAUUUGUUUGGUUUCUUCUUGGAUAAUAGCAUGCCAUUGCUACUGUGUUUUGUGUGCUUAUUUGGGGCAAAUGUGCUAGGGAAUAUCCAAAUUCAGGCUGAUUGAGCUAAUAGACUCUGAAAGUGAUUUCCAUCUACCAUCAAUAUCUCAGUCUAUAACAAGUCCAGCAUAAAUAACUUUCCUCUUUAUUUCCCCCAUCUGGCUAGAAUUUGGAACUUCAGUAUUCGGAAUUAUCUUAUAUUUUUCUCCCAACAUACUGGCUUUAACCUUUAUGACAGGGAGAAGACUUGGUAUGUGAUAGUGGCAUGCCAUAUGCAAUUGUAAGGUGUGCUUUAACUGAGGACCCUGCUGGAGCAGAUCUCAUUCUCGAUCGGGAAGACAGUGUAACAGUAUGGCACUAAAAUGGAAGAUUAACAUAUAUUUUUUUUUGUUUAUGUUCAUUUAGAUAUGGCACAAAAUUUUAUAGGAUAAUAUUAGGUGGUAGAGCUGAAUAUUCUUGGUUGUCAUGGAGUUGCAUUCUGGAAGUCAUUGAGGUCGAAUGAUUGGCGUAGCCUCUGUUAACUUCAAUCAUUUUCAUGAUAUACAGGGUAAAAUAUCAAGAGAAGAGAUUUCUUAGAUUUCUCCUGCUGCUACGGAAGGCCCAUAUGCAUGUGAAGACAUUCAAGGUUAUACGUGUGAUCCCAUUUAGCGUGAUCCCAUUUAGCGAACCAUUUACACCUGAAAACCCACCUCUAGAGAAGGAUUACAAUGAAUAUCAUAAAGCUUUGGAAGAUUGUAUUGCAGGGGAAGAAUACUAAAAACGCAGUCCAGUUCCAGUCUAGUGCCCACAGACAGAAGAUGUGAUCAGGCAUGGAAAUGGCAAGGUUGAUGGAACAGAUGCUUCAGAUGGUUCAGGUGCAGCCUCAGGCUUUAUACCCUUGUUUAGAAGGCCAAUGGUACUUACUUUUCCAACAAACAAUGCUGUGUUCUGUGAGCAUAUUAUUUUGGAAGCAAAUGCAAGUGACAAAGGUAAAAACAAACGAAAAUCAGAAAAAGACACGACACAGAGCAUCUCUGAUUCAAGCAAUUGUAUGGGAGCAGCUCCAGGCCUAUCAAGGUUUCGAUUCCACUGUUGAAUUCCAUAUGCAGAAAAGAAAAAGCUACAGUAACUUUUUGAAGCUAAACGAGAAAGAGAGGAAAGAAAGGGACAAAGGGUACUCAAAACUUUAUCACUCCACCUGAUCAAUGUUUCCCAGAAGAAUCUUUUCUUUCUCCAAAUGUAAUAAAGAUCCUUCUAUUGCAUGGAUUUAUAUACCCAUUGCAUGCAGGAGCUGUGAUUUUGGAGUUUCUAGCUACUAUUAUUUCUCAACCUGGAUUUGCACGUGAUGUCCACGUGAGUAGUGGCUCCUUUAAGACUGUCUACCGUCCAGUUCGUGCUCAGACUCCGAUCAAAGCCACUUUGGUCCCACUCAAAACCGAAUAGAAUUGAAUGGAAUAAUUAUAUUUUAAUUAAACAAUGUUAAUUUAGUCUAAAAUGCUGUGAAAUUUUCUUUUUAACCAUUUUAUUUACCCAUAUUAUUUUAUCAUACUGUUUUUCAAGGGAA